CCUACCUGGCUGAAUGAGAGAGAGAGUGCCUGCCAAGUCCAUAUUAUUGCCCAAGACUAGAGUUCCUGCUUUCAUCCGUCCUGCCUCCACUAGUUCAGGUAUGAGCUAUUAGGCUUUAUAGAAUGGAAUUGCAUAGUUUGCAUCUGGAUAAGCUCCUUUAUUGUAAGUUAGUACGUUUAUUAGAUACUAUUGUAAUAUGUCCUAUUCAUAGUCUUUAUAUAUUUUUUAAACAAAAUCAACAAGUGUUUUUGGUCCUGUUGUGUAAGUGAUUGAUGCAGAAUAGACCAGUGGAAGUUGCCAAAGAGCCAUCUGACAGGCCUCCUGUCACAUUUUCCCUGGAGACAUAUUUACUCCAUAGAGCCAUCUGACAGGCCUACUGUCACAUUUUCCCUGGGGACAUAUUUACUCCAUAGAGCCAUCUGACAGGCCUCCUGUCACAUUUUCCCUGGAGACAUAUUUACUCCAUAGAGCCAUCUGACAGGCCUACUGUCACAUUUUCCCUGGAGACAUAUUUACUCCAUAGAGCCAUCUGACAGGCCUACUGUCACAUUUUCCCUGGGGACAUAUUUACUCCAUAGAGCCAUCUGACAGGCCUCCUGUCACAUUUUCCCUGGAGACAUAUUUACUCCAUAGAGCCAUCUGACACAGGCCUACUGUCACAUUUUCCCUGGGGACAUAUUUACUCCAAAGAGCCAUCUGACAGGCCUACUGUCACAUUUUCCCUGGGGACAUAUUUACUCCAUAGAGCCAUCUGACAAACCUCAGGUCACAUUUUCCCUGGAGACAUAUUUACUCCAUAGAGCCAUCUGACAGGCCUACUGUCACAUUUUCCCUGGGGACAUAUUUACUCCAUAGAGCCAUCUGACAGGCCUACUGUCACAUUUUCCCUGGGGACAUAUUUACUCCAAAGAGCCAUCUGACAGGCCUACUGUCACAUUUUCCCUGGGGACAUAUUUACUCCAUAGAGCCAUCUGACAGGCCUACUGUCACAUUUUCCCUGGAGACAUAUUUACUCCAUAGAGCCAUCUGACAGGCCUACUGUCACAUUUUCCCUGGGGACAUAUUUACUCCAUAGAGCCAUCUGACAGGCCUACUGUCACAUUUUCCCUGGGGACAUAUUUACUCCAUAGAGCCAUCUGACAGGCCUACUGUCACAUUUUCCCUGGGGACAUAUUUACUCCAAAGAGCCAUCUGACAGGCCUACUGUCACAUUUUCCCUGGGGACAUAUUUACUCCAUAGAGCCAUCUGACAGGCCUCCUGUCACAUUUUCCCUGGAGACACAUUUGCUGCAAAGAGCAGAAACCCAUUGUGCUCUUAGUAGGCUACAGUGGGGAAGUUUAAAGCUAAAAGCAAUUCAAAAAUAAUUUAAUUACAAAUAAAGUGCAACAAAACUCUCACCAAAUUUUGCUUAUCAAUGUUCGCAUGUGUGUGUUUGUGUGUUACGGGCUUGCGAUCACUGACUCAUUGUGAUGCGAUGACCGACUGGCCGAAGAAACUGACCUCUAAACAGAACAUGGUAACGAGGGAGAAGGGGACAGAUGGUGACACGUCUCCUGUCCUCAGCAUCAAUGACCAUGGACUGACAAUUCAUAACCAUCGGUUGGUUCAUUGAGUAGGUUUGUAUGGACUUUGUUUAUAGUCUUCCAGUGUGGAAGAUGGGAGCAGUUGGUUAAAGAGUGACAUACAGUAUGGGCUGCAUCUCAGUAGUCUACAGUGGCUCCCUCUCCUCACCUUCAUUUGCACUGAUCUGAAAACAUAGGCUAGGUUAAAGCAAUAUGGUGGAAGCCUCAAAAGACAACAUAUAGUGUGCCUACCCUGUAUGUGUCCUCAGCCUUUCAGCGGUCUCUAUCUGAACCAUAGUGAAGUGGGGAUGUACCAGCGUGUGUCCUGCGACCCUCCCCUCUUCAGACCUCCCGCUCUCUCCUCUAGUUCAGAGGUGAAGUGUGACUCGGGCAUGGGCUGGCCGGCAUUCAAAGAGGCUCAUGGGAUUUGGGAACAUGACUAGAGCCACAUAUACAUCAUCCAUCACCCUGACAACACCCUGGGUAGUGUAGAGACAGAGGUUGUCUAUAAACAUUGUGUGUGCAUCGUUACAGUGUGACGCCCAUCUGGGUCAUGUGUUUGAGGAUGGACCGGACCCCACAGGAGAGAGGUUCUGCAUCAACAGCUUCUCUCUCAACUUCAGGCCCAGAGAACCCGGACCUGGUGACCAGUAGAACCUCCUAGAACCAUCUUAAAUCACCUAAGCCUGACCAGAACCAACCUUCAAACCCAGAGAACACAAACCCGAGGCCCAGUAGAACGCAACAGGCCCAAUAUCUGGAUCCCUAACCAGAGAUCUCAGCAUCAGGAAUACUGUUUUAUAUGUCUGUAUCUUUCUGUAACUGAUCAUAGAUGAGCUUGUGACCUAUAUUUACCUGGCUGUGUGGUCUUCCCAACCAUAGCCACAACUACUGUACAUUAUAUAGUGCCUUCGGAAAGUAUUCAGACCCCUUGACUUUUUCCGCAUUUUGUUACAUUACAGCCUUAUUCUAAAAUGUAUUCAAUAGAUUUUUUUCAUCAUCAGUCUACACACACACACAAUACCCCAUAAUGGCAAAGCAAACAGUUUUUAGAAAUGUUUGCAAAUGUAUAAAAACAUACAUUAUUUACAUAAGUAUUCAGACCAUUUGCUAUGAGACUCGUAAUUGACCUCAGGUGCAUCCUGUUUCCAUUGAUCAUCAUUGAGAUGUUUCUACAACUUGGAGUCCACCUGUGGUAAAUUCAAUUUAUUGGACAUUAUUUGGAAAGGCACACACCUGUCUAUAUAAGGUCCCACAGUUGAUAGUGCAUGUCAGAGCAACAACCAAGCCAGCUCUGAGACAGGAUUGUGUCAAGGCACAGAUCUAGGGAAGGGUACCAAUGCAUUUCUGCAGCUUUGAAGGUCCCCAAGAACACAGUUGCUUCAUCAUUCUUAAAUGGAAGAAGUUUGGAACCUCCAAGGUUUGCCGCCCAGUAAAAAAGAGCAAUUGGGAGAGAAGCACCUUGGUCAGGGAGGUGACCAAGAACUCAAUGGUCACUCUGACAGAGCUCUAGAGUUCCUCUAUUGAGAGGAAGGACAACUGUCUCUGCAUCACUCCACCAAUCAGGCCUUUAUGAUAAAGAGGCCAGACGGAAGCCACUCCUCAGUAAAAAAAAGGCACAUGAAAGCCCACUUGGAGUUUGCCAAAAGGCACCUAAAGACUCUCAGACCAUUAGAAACCAGAUUCUCUGGUCUGAUGAAACCAAGAUGGAACUCUUUGGCCUGAAUGCCAAGCAUCACGUUUGGAGGAAACCUGGCGCCAUCCCUACGGUGAAGCAUGGUGGUGGCAGCAUGAUGCUGUGGGGAUGUUUUUCUGGACAAGUUACUGAAUGUCCUGGAGUGGCCCAGUCAGAGCCCGGACUUCAACCCGAUCGAACAUCUCCGAAGAGACCUGAAAAUAGCUGAGCUGCAAUGCUCCCCAUCCAACCUGAGCGCGUGAGAGGAUCUGCAGGGAAGAAUGGGAGAAAUUCCCCAAAUACAGGUGUGCCAAGCUUGUAGCGUCGUACCCAAGAAGAGUCGAGGCUGUAAGUGCUACCAAAAGUGCUUUAAGAAAGUACUGAGUAAAGGGUCUGAAUACUUAUGUAAAUGUAUUUGUUUUUUGUUCGUAAUAUAUUAGCAAUAAUUUCAAAACUGUUUUUGCUUCGUCAUUAUGAGUUGUGUGUAGAUUGAGGAAAAAACAACAACAUUUCAAUCAAUUUUAGUAAGGCUGUAAUGUAACAAAAUGUGGAAAAAUUCAAAGGUCUGAAUUUCCGAAGGCACUGUUUGUUAAUGGUCACAUGUUGUAAUGCUUGUUAAAGGGUUUUCAAUCAAGUUCACUGGGAAUCUCAGAUUUAACUGAUAGGUCAUUAUGAGGUGAUGUCACUAAAGCUGCUGUAGGUUCCAUGACAGAAAAGUCUGAAAUUAGGAAGGAAUUCUAGUAUUGGCUCUAGAACUAAAAGGAAAGAAGAGCAGGGUGUCAAGAAGCAGAGCAGGGUGUCAAGAAGCAGAGCAGGGUGUCAAGAAGCAGAGCAGGGUGUCAAGAAGCAGAGCAGGGUGUCAAGAAGCAGCGCAGCUUGGCAAGGUUGAGUUUCAGAGGACGCAUGGCUCUCAACCUUCGCCUCUCCCGAGUCCGUAUGGGAGUUGCAGUGAUGGGACAAGACGAACUACCAGUUGGAUAAAAUUUGAUAUCACAAAAUUGGGGGUAAAAAGGGGUAAAAAGUAAAGAAAGGGGCACCACAGAGAGAGUGAGGGUCGGACACAAGAUAUUUAUUUAUUUCACCUUUAUUUAACCAGGUAGGCCAGUUGAGAAUAAGUUAUCAUUUACAACUGCGACCUGGCCAAGAUAAAGCAAAGAAGUGCGACAAAAAACAGUUACAUACAGUGCCUUGCGAAAGUAUUCGGCCCCCUUGAACUUUGCGACCUUUUGCCACAUUUCAGGCUUCAAACAUAAAGAUAUAAAACUGUAUUUUUUUGUGAAGAAUCAACAACAAGUGGGACACAAUCAUGAAGUGGAACAACAUUUAUUGGAUAUUUCAAACCUUUUUAACAAAUUAAAAACUGAAAAAUUGGGCGUGCAAAAUUAUUCAGCCCCUUUACUUUCAGUGCAGCAAACUCUCUCCAGAAGGUCAGUGAGGAUCUCUGAAUGAUCCAAUGUUGACCUAAAUGACUAAUGAUGAUAAAUACAAUCCACCUGUGUGUAAUCAAGUCUCCGUAUAA